rnacentral:tRNA from 1 species
GCCGAUAUGGCUCAGGUGGUAGAGCAACUGAUUCGUAAUCAGUAGGUCGGGAGUUCGAGUCUCCCUAUCGGCA